AUGGCCGAAUAUAGCAAGGAGAAACCAUGGCUAUGGUUUUUCAAGCUUCCAAGCUCGAUUGUAAUUUUGAACAAGCCAGCUCGGGAAUCGGGACGGGUCGAAGGUUCGAUCACACUAUCCAAAGGACUUUCAUCUGGGUAAAUGGCUUGUAAAACUUAAGUGUGGCAUGUAUAGCAAUAUAUUUAUUUUGUGGAAAUAAUUUUAUGAUAUGGCCAUGAUUGGUUGAGAAAAUGUUUGAUAUUGAUAA